AGAUCUUUCGGGAUCUUGAGAGCGGCGUACGGGUGCGGAACACGUGUGCAACCUGCCUUUAUCUGGGGGAUAGCCUUUCGAAAGGAAGAUUAAUACCCCAUAAUAUAAGAAACGGCAUCGUUUUUUAUUGAAAACUCCGGUGGAUAGAGAUGGGCACGCGCAAGAUUAGAUAGUUGGUGAGGUAACGGCUCACCAAGUCUACGAUCUUUAGGGGGCCUGAGAGGGUGAUCCCCCACACUGGUACUGAGACACGGACCAGACUCCUACGGGAGGCAGCAGUGAGGAAUAUUGGACAAUGGGUGAGAGCCUGAUCCAGCCAUCCCGCGUGAAGGACGACUGCCCUAUGGGUUGUAAACUUCUUUUGUAUAGGGAUAAACCUACCCUCGUGAGGGUAGCUGAAGGUACUAUACGAAUAAGCACCGGCUAACUCCGUGCCAGCAGCCGCGGUAAUACGGAGGGUGCAAGCGUUAUCCGGAUUUAUUGGGUUUAAAGGGUCCGUAGGCGGAUUUGUAAGUCAGUGGUGAAAUCUCACAGCUUAACUGUGAAACUGCCAUUGAUACUGCAAGUCUUGAGUGUUGUUGAAGUAGCUGGAAUAAGUAGUGUAGCGGUGAAAUGCAUAGAUAUUACUUAGAACACCAAUUGCGAAGGCAGGUUACUAAGCAACAACUGACGCUGAUGGACGAAAGCGUGGGGAGCGAACAGGAUUAGAUACCCUGGUAGUCCACGCCGUAAACGAUGCUAACUCGUUUUUGGGUUUUUAAGAUUCAGAGACUAAGCGAAAGUGAUAAGUUAGCCACCUGGGGAGUACGUUCGCAAGAAUGAAACUCAAAGGAAUUGACGGGGGCCCGCACAAGCGGUGGAUUAUGUGGUUUAAUUCGAUGAUACGCGAGGAACCUUACCAAGGCUUAAAUGGGAAAUGACAGGUUUAGAAAUAGACUUUUCUUCGGACAUUUUUCAAGGUGCUGCAUGGUUGUCGUCAGCUCGUGCCGUGAGGUGUUAGGUUAAGUCCUGCAACGAGCGCAACCCCUGUCACUAGUUGCCAUCAUUAAGUUGGGGACUCUAGUGAGACUGCCUACGCAAGUAGAGAGGAAGGUGGGGAUGACGUCAAAUCAUCACGGCCCUUACGCCUUGGGCCACACACGUAAUACAAUGGCCGGUACAGAGGGCAGCUACACAGCGAUGUGAUGCAAAUCUCGAAAGCCGGUCUCAGUUCGGAUUGGAGUCUGCAACUCGACUCUAUGAAGCUGGAAUCGCUAGUAAUCGCGCAUCAGCCAUGGCGCGGUGAAUACGUUCCCGGGCCUUGUACACACCGCCCGUCAAGCCAUGGAAGUCU
rnacentral:rRNA from 1 species